rnacentral:rRNA from 1 species
AGUUCGAUUCUGCUCAGAUUGAACGCUGGCGGGAUGCUUUACACAUGCAAGUCGAACGGCAGCACGGACUUCGGUCUGGUGGCGAGUGGCGAACGGGUGAGUAAUGUAUCGGAACGUGCCUAGUAGUGGGGAUAACUACGCGAAAGCGUAGCUAAUACCGCAUACGGCCCUUCGGGGGAAAGCGGGGACCUUCGCCUCGCACUAUUAGAGCGGCCGAUAUCGGAUUAAACAGUUGGCGGGGUAACGGCUCACCAAGGCGACGAUCCGUAGCUGGUUUGAGAGGACGACCAGCCACACUGGGACUGAGACACGGCCCAGACUCCUACGGGAGGCAGCAGUGGGGAAUUUUGGACAAUGGGGAAACCCUGAUCCAGCCAUCCCGCGUGUGCGAUGAAGGCCUUCGGGUUGUAAAGCACUUGGCAGGAAAGAAACGACACGGGAUAAUACCCCGUGCAACUGACGGUACCUGCAGAAUAAGCACCGGCUAACUACGUGCCAGCAGCCGCGGUAAUACGUAGGGUGCAAGCGUUAAUCGGAAUUACUGGGCGUAAAGCGUGCGCAGGCGGUUCGGAAAGAAAGAUGUGAAACUCAGAGCUUAACUUUGGAACUGCAUUUUUAACUACCGAGCUAGAGUGUCAGAGGGAGGUGGAAUUCCGGCGUAGCAGUGAAAUGCGUAGAUAUGCGGAGGAACACCGAUGGCGAAGGCAGCCUCUCCUGGGAUAACACUGACGCUCAUGCACGAAAGCGUGGGGAGCAAACAGGAUUAGAUACCCUGGUAGUCCACGCCCUAAACGAUGUCAACUAGCUGUUGGGGCCUUCGGGCCUUGGUAGCGCAGCUAACGCGUGAAGUUGACCGCCUGGGGAGUACGGUCGCAAGAUUAAAACUCAAAGGAAUUGACGACCCGCACAAGCGUGGAUGAUGUGGAUUAAUCCGAUGCAACGCGAAAAACCUUACCUACCCUUGACAUGUCUGGAAUCCCGAAGAGGUUUGGGAGUGCUCGCAAGAGAACCGGAACACAGGUGCUGCAUGGCUGUCGUCAGUUUCCGUGUCGUGAGAUGUUGGGUUAAGUCCCGCAACGAGCGCAACCCUUGUCAUUAGUUGCUACGAAAGGGCACUCUAAUGAGACUGCCGGUGACAAACCGAGGAAGGUGGGGAUGACGUCGUCCUUUAUGGCCCUUGCGGGUAGGGCUUCACACGUCAUACAAUGGUCGGGACAGAGGGUCGCCAACCCGCGAGGGGGGAGCCAAUCCCAGAAACCCUCGAUCGUAGUCCGGAUCGCAGUCUGCAACUCGACUGCGUGAAGUCGGAAUCGCUAGUAAUCGCAUCAGCAUGUCGCCGCGGUGAAUACGUCUCGGGUCUUGUACACACCGCCCGUCACACCAUGGGAGUGGGUUUUACCAGAAGUAGUUAGCCUAACCGUAAGGAGGGCGAUUACCACGGUAGGAUUCAUGACUGGGGUGAAGUCGUAACAAGGUAA